CUACGGGGCGCUGCAGUGGGGAAUAUUGCACAAUGGACGAAAGUCUGAUGCAGCAACGCCGCGUGGAGGAUGACACAUUUCGGUGCGUAAACUCCUUUUAUAUAGGAAGAUAAUGACGGUACUAUAUGAAUAAGCACCGGCUAACUCCGUGCCAGCAGCCGCGGUAAUACGGAGGGUGCAAGCGUUACUCGGAAUCACUGGGCGUAAAGAGCGUGUAGGCGGGUAGUUGAGUCAGAAGUGAAAUCCAAUAGCUCAACUAUUGAACUGCUUUUGAAACUGAUUACCUAGAAUAUGGGAGAGGUAGAUGGAAUUUCUGGUGUAGGGGUAAAAUCCGUAGAGAUCAGAAGGAAUACCGAUUGCGAAGGCGAUCUACUGGAACAUUAUUGACGCUGAGACGCGAAAGCGUGGGGAGCAAACAGGAUUAGAUACCCCGGUAGUC
rnacentral:rRNA from 1 species